UAUUUUUUAAGGAUUUUAUAUUUAGUUGUGGAGUUUAUUUUGCAGAUUAAGGAAAAAUAAAUGUGUGUAUAUGUGUGGUUAGGAUAUUCAGUCAGACUUGUGGUUGAUUUGCAUAAUCAUAUUUUUGAUGUUGAUUCUUGCUACCUUGCUUGCUUUAAAAAUUCAUAUAUUUUAACAUACCUCCUAUGGGAUUAAUAAAAUUUCAUACAUGAUGGUUGCAUCUUAGAUUUUGGACCAUAAAAAUUACUAUGCAAAACUUUUUUGAAGUAUCUUUUUUUCGUAAAAUUAAUAUUAAAAAUGCUUCCCAUACGUGGCCAACUAAAGUACACAUACUGUAUAUUACAUGCACAUUAUACAUUUUAAGUUUUGUUUAAGAAUAAUAUUUGUUUUAAGGUCUUUCGCCAAUAUUGUUAAAAUUAAAUUGUUAAUAUAAAAACAUGUAGCAAGCAAGAGAAUAUAGUAUGUAUUAAUAAUUACCCCAGAAAGCAAAUCAUUUAAAAAUCGAACAAUUAUUGGCCGCUGAAAUGCUAAACGCAUUUAAGUACAUCAUAUAAAUUCAUAUCUGUAAUUAAUAAUUUACGUGUAUACACUCUGUCCUGUCAAUAAAACGAAAUUAGGUUAGGAUAACCUCUGGUUAAGAGCUUAACCAUCACUCCAAGCUCUGGUUAAAAAUUCUGUCGGUUAACCACAACUUCGCCGUUGACCUGAUAUUGUGAAACACAUAUUUCGGGGUAACUUCUGGUUAUCUCUUAACCACAAGUUAACUUCGACUUGUGAAACCGGCUUAGAGAGUUAAGUGAUCUGUGACUUUGACUUCCCUAAUCUACAUCUACCUCACCUCAACAUAUUUUUAUUUUGGAGAGUUGGAGAUUUGAAGAAUGAACCAGAUGAAUAUGAAUAUACCUAUCUCGGCUAUGGAAAUAAAAGCUGAAAUUAAGAGUGAGUCCCCUGAGGAUGACCAACAAUACAUUAUAGAGAGCCAGCUAUCCACGUCCCUAGAUCUGGAAAAUUUCAAGAAUGAACUGGAGGAAGACUCAGCUAUGGAAAUAAAAACUGAGAUUAAGAAAGAGUCCAUUGAGGAUGACCAACAAUAUAUAGAGAGUCAGCUAUCCACAUCACUAGAUGUGGAAGACUUGAAGAAUGAACCAGAGGAAGACUCAGGUAUGGAAAUAAAAACUGAAAUUAAGAAAGAGUCCCUUGAGGGUGACCAACAAUAUAUUGAGAGUCAGCCAUCUACAUCUGUAGAUCUGGAAAACUUAAAGAAUGAACCGAAGGAAGAGUCAGAUUUUUCCCAGAAGAGCCGAGUGGAAAUUAUGAAAACGUUACCUGCAUCUGUAUAUACUAAAAAACGGCAAACUAUGAAGAAGCCUAAACAAAGUCUAAUCUGUGAAAAAGCAACAUUAAAAUAUUUUGCUUGUUUUAAAGAUGUCUUUAGCAUAAAUAAUUUAAACAAAAAUACAAUCGUUCAGACUGAAGAAGGGCUUUACAAAUGUGAAAUUUGUUUUAAGCAGUUUAGCGUUGCAGAUGGUUUGAAAACGCAUUUGAGAGAGCAUACUGAAGAAAAGCCUUGCCAGUGUGAAAUUUGUUUUAAGCAGUUUAGUAAAGCAAGUGGCUUGAAAAGACAUUUGAGAGUGCACACUGGAGAAAAACCGUAUAAGUGUGAAGUUUGUUUUAAGCAGUUUAGUCAAUCGUCUUAUUUGAAAAAGCAUUUGAGAUUGCAUACUGGAGAAAAGCCUUGUAGGUGUGAAUUUUGUUUUAAGCAGUUUAGCGUAGCAAGCAAGUUGAAAAGGCAUUUGAGAGUGCAUACUGGAGAAAAGCCUUACAAGUGUGAAAUUUGUUUUAAGCAGUUUGGGAGAGUAGAUGAGUUGAAAACACAUUUGAUAGUGCACACCGGGGAAAAACCUUACAAGUGUGAAAUUUGUUUAACACAUUAUAAUAGUACAAGUAAUUUGAAAAGACAUUCGAGAACACAUACUGGAGAAAAGCCUUAUAAGUGUGAAGUUUGUUCUAAGCAGUUUAGCUUUAUAGAUCGAUUGAAAACGCAUUUGAGAGUGCAUACUGGAGAAAAGCCUUAUAAGUGUGAAAUUUGUUUUAAGCAGUUUAGAAAAUCGUGUCAAUUGAAAACACAUUUGGGAGUGCAUACUGGAGAAAAGCCUUACAAGUGCAAAAUUUGUAUGACGCAGUUUAGUGAAGCAGGUAGUUUGAAAAAUCAUUUUAAAGUACACACUGGAGAAAAGCCUCACAAGUGUGAAAUUUGUUUUAAGCAGUUUAGCAUAGUAAGCUAUUUGAAAAGGCAUUUGAGAAUGCAUACUGGAGAAAAGCCUUAUAAGUGUGAAGUUUGUUUUAAGCAGUUUAGCUUUGGAGGUAGUUUAAAAAAGCAUUUGAGAACGCACACUAAAGAAAAGCCUCACAGAUGUGAAAUUUGUUUGACGCAGUUUAGUGAGACAGCAACUUAAAAAGUCAUUUAAGAAUACACACUGGAGAAAAGCCUUACAGGUGUGAAAUGAAACAGUUUCAGUUUACUAAAGCAAAUAAUUUGAAAAAACAUUUUGAAAGUGCACACUGGAAAUCCUAACACGUUCGGGCGCAUCUCAUAUGUGAGAUUAAAAAUGAAUGUCUGCCCUAAACUAAACAACAAAAAUUACCAAACUGGACUAUGCAAUUAAAAAUAUUUUUAUUUUGAACUCACAUUUUUAAAUAACCACGUAAAUAAUUAACACAAAAAACAUUUAGACCACAUGAUCGGGCGCAAAAUUAAUCUCACAGAUCUCUUCUCUUCUUCUUUUUGUGUUGACAUGACUCUGCAUGUUUUUCAAUGUGCCUCCAGUUUAUCAUUCCAUCUUUUUCGUGGUCUUCCCACUUAUCGUCUUCCUUUUGGGAAACCGUCUCUCGCCGUCCUUACUACUCUAUUUGUUGUCAUUCGGCGUAUGUGGUUGUUCCAUUCUACUCUUCUGUUUUUCAUCUAGUUAAUGUUGUCGUAGUUGCAUCUCCGUCGUUUAUCUGCACUUCUAGCUCUAUCCCAUAGUGUCUUACCGUCGAUUUUUCGAAGUGUUUUCAUAUCUGCUGUUUCUAGCAUUAUUUUUGCCCUUUCUGUAUCAGGUCGUGUUUCUGCUGCGUAUGUCAUUAUUGUUGUGAUGACUGUUUUGUAAAUUCUGUCAUUCACUUCUUUUCCGAUAUUUUUAUUUCUCCAUAUUGUGUUAUUCAGGCAACCUGCGGCUCUGUUUGCUUUAUUCACCUGAUCUUCCACUUCUGUUUCGAGCUAGAUAGUGUGAUGCCUAGAUAUUUAAACUCCAUCACUUGUUCUGUUAUUAUCUGACCCUCCAGCUCUAAUUUACACCUUAUUAGAUUUGCUGUUAUAACCAUGCAUUUAGUCUUUUUUUUUUUGGGAAAUUAACAUGUUAAAUUUUCUAGCGGUUAUACUAAAUUGGUGCAGCAUACGUUGUAAAUUAUCUUCACUUUGAAAGAUUAGUAUUGCGUCGUCUGCAUAGCAGAUUAUUUUAAGUUGCUUUUCUCCCAUUUGGUAUCCUCUGUUUGUUCUUACUUUUUUAUUAUUUCAUCCAUGAUCAGGUUGAACAAUAGAGGACUCAGGGAGUCUCCCUGUCUUAUCCCAUUGCCAGCUUCAAUUGGGUCAGUUAGUUCUUUAUCUACUUUUACUUUUAUUGUGUUGUUCUGGUAGAUAACGACCAAAGUGAUAACAAACAAACUGAAUAAAAUUAUAACAUUAGCAGAAGAACAACAAGCUUUUAGGUCGGGAAGAUCAUGUACCGACGCUAUGUUUAUAAUGAGGCAUGUUCAAUAAAAAUCGCUAGAAUACAACAAACCAGCAUACUUAUGUUUCGUGGACCUUAAGAAGGCACGUGACAGGGUCAAAUUAAAGGACGUUACCGAUUUAUUGUACGCAAGAGAGGUACCUCUAGGAAUCUCACAGAUGACUUCGGAAAUAAUAAAAAAUAUCAGUGAAUUAGGGACAGGAACAUUUUUGUCUAAUAGAAGACAAGGGUAAUUGAGUUCCAGCAUGUAAGAGUGUAUUGUGUUUGUAUUUAAUUAUGAGGUGUGAUAAUGGGUGCUUUGAACAAGAACUGUAUUUAUCGUGGUUCAAAUAACAUAAUCUGUCUUCAUUGUACUUGAACGUUUAUUUUACUUUAACACGUUAACGGACAGUGCGUCAAAUGUAUCAGCAAGUGUUGUGACACUAUAUUUUUUUUGCAAAGUAGAAUAGCUCAAUUUUUGCUCAUUCAAUCAUUGCUCAAUUUUUUUUAGCGCUUAUAGUUUAUGGAAACAAAGAGCUUUUUAAGAUUUUUUGUAAACAUAUGGACGACGACCAUGGACAUCGUGUCACAUUUAAUAUGCAUCUGUAGAUGUAAUGUGACAUUUUUGAUACCGACUUUUUGUCACAACUCGUUAUUUUAACAAUGCCGUCUAUAGACGUUGUGUCACAUUACAUCAAUGGAAAUUACAAAAUAUAAAAAUACAAAAAUGGUUUUUUAACGAUGGUGUAAGGGUAAGGGUUUAUCAACAUCAAAAAUUGAGAUCAACACAUAUUCAUUUAAUUCUUAAAUGUACUAGAAACGAAAACCAAAACAUACACAUUUGUUUACAUUUUUACUGCGUCACCUAGUUUUGUAGAAGCACCAGUCGACGAUAUUGCAUAGUAAACUAAUUCAUAUUUUCGUAUGUCAUGGCCACGCUGAGUCGACAAUAUAAACAAACUAGAUGUUAUAAGUUUGUUUAUAUAAACACGAAGGUAGGGUGAUUCAUUCUAGUUCAUUCGUAUUAUUAAAAAAGAACAUUCUUAAUCCAGAUGCUCUAGCAGAUGGUUUUACCGCGAGCACAUCAACUAUUUACUGUGGUCUUUAUAGUUGGUAAUAAAUAAGCAGUUAUACAUAUUGUUUACUUCAGCAACCCCUAUUGGUAGGGGGUAACUACCCCCAACUACCCUAAGAUGUUUCCCGAGGGUGCAUACCCGCAUAUGGCGAUCUAAGACCAGGGACGAACACGGAAACUAGCAGUUUGGAACGAGUAUGGGAGGAAAGUCGUCCAAGGAUGAACUCCAGGAGAAUGGAGUAGUGAACAGCAACUUUAUCGUCAAGAGUAAGGAGGUCAAACCCGAUACGGAGCUGAAGGUGCUGCUUUACAUAAUUACGGCUGUUCUGAUUCUUAGAUUGGCGUGGUCACUAUGGAAGGCCCACAGAAAGAACCUCAAAAGGAACAUUCACCGUGGACUGGCGAGAUCAACAGCGAACAUUGACGUUUAAAGUGGUUUUUCCGGGGAGGAGAAUAAAAUGAAAACUUUACCUGCACAUUCAUCUCGUAAAGGAAGCUGUAAGAAUGUACCCUCUGAACCAGAAAUCAUGAAUAAAAAUAUAAAAGUUACGCCUGGACAAAAACCUUACAAAUGUGAAAUUUGUUUCAAGCAAUUUUCCCAAACAAAUAAUUUGAAGCAACAUACGAUAGUACACACUAGAGAAAAACUACAUACGUGUGAAAGUUGUUUUAAACAGUUUAGCGUAGCAAGCAAUUUGAAAACGCAUUU
rnacentral:misc_RNA from 1 species